GGAAUUGUGGCCGAGCGGUCUAAGGCGCCAGCUUAAGGCGCUGGUCAGUAAUGGCAUGGGUUCGAAUCCCAUCGAUUUCA
rnacentral:tRNA from 1 species